rnacentral:rRNA from 1 species
UAGGGAAUCUUCCACAAUGGACGCAAGUCUGAUGGAGCAACGCCGCGUGAGUGAAGAAGGUUUUCGGACCGUAAAGCUCUGUUGUUGGUGAAGAAGGAUAGAGGUAGUAACUGGCCUUUAUUUGACGGUAAUCAACCAGAAAGUCACGGCUAACUACGUGCCAGCAGCCGCGGUAAUACGUAGGUGGCAAGCGUUGUCCGGAUUUAUUGGGCGUAAAGCGAGCGCAGGCGGAAGAAUAAGUCUGAUGUGAAAGCCCUCGGCUUAACCGAGGAAUUGCAUCGGAAACUGUUUUCUUGAGUGCAGAAGAGGAGAGUAGAACUCCAUGUGUAGCGGUGGAAUGCGUAGAUAUAUGGAAGAAUACCAGUGGCGAAGGCGGCUCUCUGGUCUGCAACUGACGCUGAGGCUCGAAAGCAUGGGUAGCGAACAGGAUUAGAUACCCCGGUAGUCCAUGCCGUAAACGAUGAGUGCUAAGUGUUGGGAGGCUUCCGCCUCUCAGUGCUGCAGCUAACGCAUUAAGCACUCCGCCUGGGGGAGUACGACCGCAAGGUUGAAAC